UCUUGAGACCGGCUAGGUGGGCACGAGUCGCUGUCGUCGGGUCUUCCACCACCACCAUCCGCCCAUGCCCGCCCCACUUCCCCGACUUCUACAUAAGCAGAGCCCACCAUCCGGGUCCGACCCCCCUACGCCGUGCUGUGCUCGAGUGUCAACGUCAUCGCCUAGCCUCCCGCCGCCGUCGCCGCCGCCGCCACACGCGAACAAGGUCAAAGAAGAUGGCUGAAGUCGAGACCUUCCUCUUCACAUCCGAGUCUGUCAAUGAGGGGCACCCUGACAAGCUCUGCGACCAGAUAUCUGAUGCUGUGCUAGAUGCAUGCCUGGCUGAAGACCCUGACAGCAAGGUUGCUUGCGAGACAUGCACCAAGACCAACAUGGUCAUGGUUUUCGGUGAGAUCACUACCAAAGCCAAUGUUGACUAUGAGAAGAUUGUCAGGGAUACUUGCCGUGGCAUCGGUUUUGUGUCCAAUGAUGUAGGGCUUGAUGCUGACCACUGCAAGGUACUUGUCAACAUUGAGCAGCAGUCCCCUGACAUCGCGCAGGGUGUCCAUGGCCACUUUACCAAGCGGCCUGAGGAGAUUGGCGCUGGUGACCAGGGCCAUAUGUUUGGAUAUGCAACUGAUGAGACUCCUGAGUUCAUGCCCCUCAGCCAUGUUCUUGCUACCAAGCUUGGUGCUCGUCUCACCGAGGUCCGCAAGAACGCCACCUGCCCGUGGUUGAGGCCUGAUGGCAAGACCCAGGUGACUGUUGAGUAUCACAAUGACAAUGGUGCUAUGGUCCCUAUACGUGUCCACACUGUGCUCAUCUCCACCCAGCAUGAUGAGACAGUGACCAAUGAUGAGAUUGCUGCUGAUCUGAAGGAGCAUGUGAUUAAGCCUGUUAUCCCAGAGCAGUAUCUUGAUGAGAAUACGAUCUUCCAUCUCAACCCAUCUGGCCGCUUUGUCAUUGGUGGACCUCACGGCGAUGCUGGUCUCACUGGCAGGAAGAUCAUCAUUGACACCUAUGGUGGCUGGGGAGCUCAUGGUGGAGGUGCUUUCUCUGGCAAGGACCCGACCAAGGUUGACCGCAGUGGUGCAUAUGUUGCAAGGCAGGCGGCGAAGAGCAUCGUGGCCAGCGGCAUCGCCCGUCGCUGCAUCGUCCAGGUGUCUUAUGCUAUUGGCGUGCCUGAACCGCUUUCGGUGUUUGUCUGACACAUACGGCACUGGCAAGAUCCCUGAUAAGGAGAUCCUUGAGAUUGUCAAGGAGAACUUUGACUUCAGGCCAGGCAUGAUCAUCAUCAACCUUGACCUCAAGAGGGGGGGGAAGGGGCGCUAUCUCAAGACGGCGGCAUACGGGCACUUCGGCAGGGAGGGCGCGGACUUCACCUGGGAGGUGGUGAAGCCCCUCAAGUGGGAGAAGCCUUCUGCCUGAGCAAACACUGAGCGAAGUCUCUGAAUAAAUUUAGGUUUACCUAUCGCAGCAAGUAAUAUCUCUAUUCACUGCUCCAGAGCUGCAACGGUGCAAGUUUUUUUUUUUCAGUGUUUGUGUUUAGAGGUGCUUGUAUUGUGGGUGUGCUACUUGUGUUCUUAUCUGCUCAUGUCAUGGUAAUGGUGGCGACAAGAUUGAAACUGUUAAAGAAUAUGACUUUCCUCUCUUUGCUA